AGCAGCCGCGGUAAUUCCAGCUCCAAUAGCGUAUAUUAAAGUUGUUGCAGUUAAAAAGCUCGUAGUUGAAUUUCGGGAUUUGUCGGUUGGUCGGGCUUCACUGUCCGCACUGGCCUGACGGAUUCCUACCUUCUGAAUAACCAGCAUGCUAUUAAGUUAGUGCGUUGGGGAAGCAGAGCUAUUACCUUGAAAAAAUUAGAGUGCUUAAAGCAGGCUUGUGCUUGAAUAGAUUAGCAUGGAAUAAUAAAAUAGGACGGCUUGGUUCUAUUUUGUUGGUUUCUAGGAUCACCGUAAUGAUUAAUAGGGAUAGUUGGGGGCAUUAGUAUUCAAUUGUCAGAGGUGAAAUUCUUGGAUUUAUUGAAGACUAACUUCUGCGAAAGCAUUUGCCAAGGAUGUUUUCAUUAAUCAAGAACGAAAGUUAGGGGAUCGAAGACGAUCAGAUACCGUCGUAGUCUUAACCAUAAACUAUGCCGACUAGGGAUCGGACGAUGUUAAUUUUUUAAUGACUCG
rnacentral:rRNA from 1 species